AAGGUCUGGCUGUUCUUGAGCACUCUCUGAAUGGUAAAGUGGACACCAUUGAUAGCAGCCAUGAUGUGAGGACUCCACAGUAAUGAAGGAGAGAAGGGAACCACCUCAGACUUGUUCAGGACUUUGUACCAGCUGAGAAUCACCCAUGAAGGGAAGAAGUCAGAAGCCCAUACAGCUCAUGGAUACAGUGUCCCCUGCCCCUUUCUUCUGUGCAAAUCCAGUCCAGGGUCCAUCUUGUCCCCAUUCACCAAGAAGCCAGCAGAAGCCUUCCAGAUUUACCAAACAGAGCUUACGUCAACUAAUUCCAUUGAGAGCCAAGUCUUGCUCCUCCCCACCACACGCCCCACCCUGCUGGAGUGGACAGCAGGUUUAUCCAUGACUACGAUGGAUAUUGUGAGGCCAAAUCUCCAGUUCCUGAGGUCACUCGCUCCCCUGCAGCAGAAUGACACCCUAAGAAUUGUAUUCUCCUGUAGUUGCCACCAGUGGGUGCCCUCCCCCCCCAGCCCCUUGAUGGAGUGCAGUUCUAGGGAGUUGCCACACAACAGAGUUAGCCAGUCAGAAUUAUUUUCUGAGCAAGAAUGUCCCUGUGCUGAUGUGAAGAGGGGACAAUAUUGUGGAGAUUCUUUAGCAACUAAGGGUUUGCCCAAUAUCCCAUCUUAACUUUUGACCCAGUUUGUCAGUACUAAUCUGUUAAACGGGUCUUUACCUUUUAGAAGGUGUUUUUACUGUGCACCAGCAAGUGUCGGCUGCAUGGGAGGAACAGGACCAAAUGGUAGCUGACUCUCUGUAACUACUUUGUCUCUAUAGAAAAUGCAACUGCACUCUGAUAACCAUCUUUCAAAACUGUCAGCUCAUACUUAAUCAAGCUGCCCUGUUCCCAUCUUUUUUUAAUGAGCUAUUCCUAAGGCACCAAGGGGCCAACUUAGAAGAAGCUAACUUCUAUGAUGUACUGUACCUCAUAGAAAGCAUUUCUGCCUAUCAUCCAACUUCAUGAUUAACCUAGCAACAGAAUUGCUUUGCAGCCUUCCCGAGCCCCAGGAAUGCUGUAGAAAGCACUCAUUUGGAAGACAGCCAUUUUCACCAUUUGCAACUAUUUUUUUUAAAGAAAAAAAUAGUUCGUUCUUAAUUCAUAUGCACAGUAAUGCUUAUUUGAUCGCCUGGCAACAAACUGGAGGCUUACAGGGUGUGUAGUGGAAUUCAAAUACCCCAUAAGCUUUGGUUGCCUUUUCAGGUGGCUAACAAAAUCAUGCAUACUAGAUUCAGGUUAAUUACAGGUUUCAGAUUAGCAGCCAUGUUAGUCUGUAUCCGUGAAAAGAACAGGAGUACUUGUGGCACCUUAAAGACUAACAAAUUUAUUUGAGCAUAAGCUUUUGUGGGCUAC